rnacentral:misc_RNA from 1 species
CGCAUCUUGCGCUCCUUGGUAUUCCGAGGAGCAUGCCUGUUUGAGUAUUAUAAAAAUUUCAACCUGUCCAUUCUUUUAUUUUUUAAAAGUCUUGACAAGGCUUGGAAUCUGGAAGUUGCUGGCUGUGUUGCGGUCAGCUCUUCUCAAAUGCAUUAGUGAUGAUCAUUGCUAGAUCAGUUUUUGAUAUGAUAACUAUCUAUAUCAUUUCUGAAAUAGUGUUCUUUAUACAAAGAAAGAUCUCGCUUCAAAUUGUCUGAUUACAAAUGACAAAAUACAUUGCAAAAUUUAAUCUCAAAUCAGGUAGGACUACCCGCUGAACUUAA